CUUGCAAACCAAAGCUGGCGACCGGCGCACGGGUGAGUAACACGUAUCCAACCUGCCUCAUACUCGGGGAUAGCCUUUCGAAAGAAAGAUUAAUAUCCGAUAGCAUAUAUUUCCCGCAUGGGUUUUAUAUUAAAGAAAUUCGGUAUGAGAUGGGGAUGCGUUCCAUUAGUUUGUUGGGGGGGUAACGGCCCACCAAGACUACGAUGGAUAGGGGUUCUGAGAGGAAGGCCCCCCACAUUGGAACUGAGACACGGUCCAAACUCCUACGGGAGGCAGCAUG
rnacentral:rRNA from 1 species